GACGAACGCUGGCGGCGUGCCUAAUACAUGCAAGUCGAACGAGAGCGACCGGUGCUUGCACUGGUCAAUCUAGUGGCGAACGGGUGAGUAACACGUGGGUAACCUGCCCAUCAGAGGGGGAUAACAUCCGGAAACGGAUGCUAAAACCGCAUAGGUCUUCGAGCCGCAUGGCUUGAAGAGGAAAAGAGGCGCAAGCUUCUGCUGAUGGAUGGACCCGCGGUGCAUUAGCUAGUUGGUGAGGUAACGGCUCACCAAGGCCGUGAUGCAUAGCCGACCUGAGAGGGUGAUCGGCCACAUUGGGACUGAGACACGGCCCAAACUCCUACGGGAGGCAGCAGUAGGGAAUCUUCCGCAAUGGACGCAAGUCUGACGGAGCAACGCCGCGUGAGUGAAGAAGGUUUUCGGAUCGUAAAACUCUGUUGUUAGAGAAGAGCAAGUGCUAGAGUAACUGUUAGCGCCUUGACGGUAGCUAACCAGAAAGCCACGGCUAACUACGUG
rnacentral:rRNA from 1 species